GGAAAGGCGCGCGAUACAGGGUGACAGCCCCGUACACAAAAAUGCACAUGCUGUGAGCUCGAUGAGUAGGGCGGGACACGUGGUAUCCUGUCUGAAUAUGGGGGGACCAUCCUCCAAGGCUAAAUACUCCUGACUGACCGAUAGUGAACCAGUACCGUGAGGGAAAGGCGAAAAGAACCCCGGCGAGGGGAGUGAAAAAGAACCUGAAACCGUGUACGUACAAGCAGUGGGAGCACGCUUAGGCGUGUGACUGCGUACCUUUUGUAUAAUGGGUCAGCGACUUAUAUUCUGUAGCAAGGUUAACCGAAUAGGGGAGCCGAAGGGAAACCGAGUCUUAACUGGGCGUUAAGUUGCAGGGUAUAGACCCGAAACCCGGUGAUCUAGCCAUGGGCAGGUUGAAGGUUGGGUAACACUAACUGGAGGACCGAACCGACUAAUGUUGAAAAAUUAGCGGAUGACUUGUGGCUGGGGGUGAAAGGCCAAUCAAACCGGGAGAUAGCUGGUUCUCCCCGAAAGCUAUUUAGGUAGCGCCUCGUGAAUUCAUCUCCGGGGGUAGAGCACUGUUU
rnacentral:rRNA from 1 species